CGGGGGGAGCAAGCGUUGUUCGGAUUUACUGGGCGUAAAGGGCGCGUAGGCGGCCACCGCAAGUCGACUGUGAAAUCUCCGGGCUUAACCCGGAAAGGUCAGCCGAUACUGCGGGGCUAGAGUGCAGAAGGGGCAACUGGAAUUCUCGGUGUAGCGGUGAAAUGCGUAGAUAUCGAGAGGAACACCUGCGGCGAAGGCGGGUUGCUGGGCUGACACUGACGCUGAGGUGCGAAAGCUAGGGGAGCGAACGGGAUUAGAUACCCCGGUAGUCCUAGCCUUAAACGAUGAAUGCUUGGUGUCUGGGGUUUUAUAGUCCCCGGGUGCCGUCGCUAACGCUUUAAGCAUUCCGCCUGGGGAGUACGGUCGCAAGACUG
rnacentral:rRNA from 1 species